rnacentral:rRNA from 1 species
AUUGAACGCUAGCGGGAUGCUUUACACAUGCAAGUCGAACGAGUGGCGGACGGGUGAGUAAUAUCUCGGAACGUGCCCAGUAGCGGGGGAUAACUACUCGCAAGAGUGGCUAAUACCGCAUACUAUUGGAACGGCCCAUAGCGGAUUAGCUAGUUGGUGGGGUAAAGGCGCACCAAGGCCACGAUCCGGAGCUGGUUUGAACGGACGACCAGCCACACUGGGACGUAGACACGGCCCAGACUCCUACGUGAGGCAGCAGUGGGGAAUUUUGGACAAUGGGGGAAACCCUGAUCCAGCCAUCCCGCGUGUAUGAGAAGGCCUUCGGGUUGUAAAGUACUUUUGGCAGAGAAGCGGUAUCUGCAGAAUAAGCACCGGCUAACUACGUGCCAGCCGCCGCGGUAAUUC